rnacentral:rRNA from 1 species
ACGGUGAGUAACACGUAUGCAAUCCACCUGUAACAGGGGAGUAACCCGGAGAAAUCCGGACUAAUACCCCAUAAUAUGGGCGCUCCGCAUGGAGAGUCCAUUAAAGAGAGCAAUCUUGGUUACAGACGAGCAUGCGCUCCAUUAGCCAGUUGGCGGGGUAACGGCCCACCAAGGCGACGAUGGAUAGGGGUUCUGAGAGGAAGGUCCCCCACAUUGGAACUGAGACACGGUCCAA